AAGUGCCCCGCCUGGGGAGUACGGUCGCAAAGAAUUAAAACUCAAAGGAAAUUGACGGGGGCCCGCACAAGCGGUGGAGCAUGUGGUUCAAUUCGACGCAACGCGAAGAACCUUACCUGGGCUAGACAACGGCGGACCGUCCUAGAAAUAGGGCCUUCCCUUCGGGGACCGCCGGUUCAGGUGCUGCAUGGCUGCCGUCAGCUCGUGCCGUGAGGUGUUGGGUUAAGUCCCGCAACGAGCGCAACCCUCGUCCUUAGUUGCCACCAUUCAGUUGGGCACUCUAGGGAGACUGCCGGCGUUAAGCCGGAGGAAGGUGGGGACGACGUCAAGUCAUCAUGGCCCUUAUGUCCAGGGCCACACACGUGCUACAAUGGGCGGUACAAAGGGUCGCAAACCCGCGAGGGGGAGCCAAUCCCAAAAAGCCGCUCUCAGUUCGGAUUGGAGUCUGCAACUCGACUCCAUGAAGUUGGAAUCGCUAGUAAUCGCGGAUCAGCACGCCGCGGUGAAUACGUUCCCGGGCCUUGUACACACCGCCCGUCACACCAUGGAAGCCAGCUGUACCGGAAGUCGGUGCGCCAACCCGCAAGGGAGGCAGCCGCCUAUGGUAUGACUGGUGACUGGGGUG
rnacentral:rRNA from 1 species